AAACUGCGAAUGGCUCAUUAUAUAAGUUAUCGUUUAUUUGAUAGUACCUUACUACUUGGAUAACCGUGGUAAUUCUAGAGCUAAUACAUGCUAAAAAUCCCGACUUCGGAAGGGAUGUAUUUAUUAGAUUAAAAACCAAUGCCCCCUGGGGCUCUCUGGUGAUUCAUAAUAACUUCUCGAAUCGCAUGGCCUUGUGCCGGCGAUGGUUCAUUCAAAUUUCUUCCCUAUCAACUUUCGAUGUUUGGGUAGUGGCCAAACAUGGUUGCAACGGGUAACGGAGGGUUAGGGCUCGACCCCGGAGAAGGAGCCUGAGAAACGGCUACUACAUCCAAGGAAGGCAGCAGGCGCGCAAAUUACCCAAUCCCGAUUCGGGGAGGUAGUGACAAUAAAUACCGAUACAGGGCUCUUUUGGGUCUUGUAAUUGGAAUGAGUACAAUUUAAAUCCCUUAACGAGGAACAAUUGGAGGGCAAGUCUGGUGCCAGCAGCCGCGGUAAUUCCAGCUCCAAUAGCGUAUAUUAAAGUUGUUGUGGUUAAAAAGCUCGUAGUUGAACCUUGGGCCUGGCUGGCCGGUCCGCCUCACCGCGUGUACUGGUCCGGCCGGGCCUUUCCCUCUGUGGAACCCCAUGCCCUUCACUGGGCGUGGCGGGGAAACAGGACUUUUACUUUGAAAAAAUUAGAGUGCUCCAGGCAGGCCUAUGCUCGAAUACAUUAGCAUGGAAUAAUGAAAUAGGACGCGCGGUUCUAUUUUGUUGGUUUCUAGGACCGCCGUAAUGAUUAAUAGGGACAGUCGGGGGCAUCAGUAUUCAAUUGUCAGAGGUGAAAUUCUUGGAUUUAUUGAAGACUAACUACUGCGAAAGCAUUUGCCAAGGAUGUUUUCAUUAAUCAGGAACGAAAGUUAGGGGAUCGAAGACGAUCAGAUACCGUCGUAGUCUUAACCAUAAACUAUGCCGACUAGGGAUCGGACGAUGUUAUUUUNNGACUCGUUCGGGCACUUACGAGAAAUCAAA
rnacentral:rRNA from 1 species